rnacentral:lncRNA from 1 species
CCGUUCAUCUGGGGAGGCAGAGGUGAGAAGAGCAAAAUCAAUGAUGGGGAUUGAGUGUUCAGGGUCGUUUGCAUCUCCCUUAUCGUUGGGAUCCAUGAUGUAGGCGUACUCGGAAGGUACAGAAGUGAGAGCAUCUGAGUCGGCUAAGGUUUUGAUGCUUGCUACCUUGGGUUCAGAUGCAUCCACUGAAGUCACGGUAGGUGCCAUUGGUGGAGGGAGCGAGAAAGAAGCUGAGAAUUCUGGUCUUUGAUUUGUAUAUCCUGAAGGAAGGACGUGAGGGAGAGGAAAGUUGAUUGUUUGAGAGUUGUGGAGAAAUAUGAAAAAAGGAGUUGCUAUUUUAUAGAGCAAGAUAACUUAUGACUCUACCCCCACAAGCUGGUGGUUUUUGAAUAAGUUCGGCCAAAGCUGACCUAGAUUUCAAAUCUGUUGUCCUGCAACAAUAAAAUAUAUAUUAAUUAGUUGUUAACCUACAUGUAUAUGCAAUAGAUUAAUUCUUGGAAAACCAUAUUAUGUAAAUCAUAUUUAAAUUAUUUCUCUAAUAGAGAUGAGACAUACUUGUAUGAUUCGAUAGAUGGUUUAUUAUCGUCUACAUAGGAAAAUGUCAAAGGAACAUUUAAAUCAUGUGCUAUGUUACUAAUAGAAAUAAGUUCGUUAAUCAAGCACUUAAGUAACAAAAUAAUCAUUGACAAUCACGUCAUGUUUAUAUAUAUGGUCUCACUAGCAUUACUCGAUCUACAAAAUAUGAUUUUUUAGCAUUACCCUCUCUAAAAGAAGUAGAGUCCACCAUACAUGUAGGUCGCACUAUUUCAAAGAUUUCGAAGUGGUCUCCAAAAUAUUAGUGUAAGCACAAAAAUUCCUGCCACAAAUGAGAUAUUUACAUGCCUACAAUUAGCUCCCCAACAUUUUUCUAUGCAAUAAUCAUACUACUACUAGAUAUAGGAAAACCAAAAUUUGAGGGGAUUGCCUAUGAAUAUGUUAUAUAAUACAUUCAUUAUCUAAUAGUAUGAUAUGCAACUAAAAAGACAUGGUAUCAUAUUUAACCGUUAAAUGGUGAAAAUACUAAAUAAAUAUACAUGCUGUAAGUAAACUAAUGAAAUAGUGAAAAAAAAUGCUUUACUUUGUUUUAUAUUCCCAAAUGGAGGAGAGAUGGGAAGAGUAUAUGCAUGAAUGAAUAGUUGAUGAGAAAAUUAGAAAAAUGUAGGAAUGCGUUUGGCAUGGGGUUUAAAGAAAAUCCAAAGUCGCGUCCAGUUUGAGACUUUGACUACGGCAGACAAAGCCACUGAAGCAAGCACAACAAGCCGCCCACCACAGCCAAGUAAAAGAAUAUGACACGAAAUAUGGCACAAAAAAAUCAAAUACAAUCAUGCAUCGGCAUCUGUACGCAUCUACAAUUCCAAAUCUAAAUUUACCCCUUGGCCUUGGGAGUUUCUGCCGUUUGGAUGCCCACCGGUAGGUAACAGAUUCUUCAUGUCCCAAGCCUAAUAUUGGAAUCCCGUUUUAUGAAACCUCGUUAAUUGGGUGCAAUUAUUGACACACCAAAAAUUGAGAAUUUUAACGAAACGCUUCCGGUAUUGUUUAUUUUAACGAAAAAUCAUAUUUUUACACUAAAAAGUUAAUCCUGGUACUAUUCACUUUACCCUUUAUUUUGUCCUUAUCGUUAAAACUCAAAGUUUUCAAAUAAUUUUCAUUAGUUUUCCUUUAAAAAAUUUAUUGUGCUCUUUUUAUAAGUGUUUGUUUUACAAAUAAUAUUUUACAGUAUCCAUAUUAAAAGAAAAAGUUUGAACCUUGAACGAAAUUAGUUGAGGGGGAAGACCUAACUAUUAAGACAAUUCACUAUUUGCAAGUAUUUUUUUUUUCUAAAUAAGACAAUAAUUUUUUCUAAGAUGCCAAUAACAACGCCCAAUCAACUUUGAUGAUUCAAUUAGUCAACCAUUAAUUCAUGUUAGUUGGCUUGGUUUUCGAGAAGGUGACGUAUAUCCAAAUUCCAACUAUAUUAUACUUCUCCAUUUUGUUUUUAUUUUGAGUAAUGUUAAGGAGGUUACACGUUUAUAUUAUAUUUAGUAUAUCAUCUCAUAUAACAAGUGAUGCAUACAAUUAAUAUCCAAUGAGAUAAUUUUAUAUUGACUUGACGUGUACACAUCACUUGUCAUGGCACGAGAGAUUUUACAUAUUUUACUUUCUCGAACAUUAAACUUAGAACGAGAAUGAUGCAAUCCAUAUUUCUAUGAAACCUCUCUUUUGUUUGGUGAACCACAUAUAUGGCUAAAACCUUUUGAAUGUGAAUAUGCUUGAAAUUUCAUUUCUCAGAAUAAAACAAUACCUUAAAAUAAUAUUCUGGAGAGUAGGCUUUCAUAGUUUGAAAAACACAUGCGAAAAUACUACAAAUUAGUUCAAAAUGCACGCAAGACACUUUUGUAUAAAUUAAAUGUAACCCUAAGUUUAUAUUUCGUUCAAAGGACCUAUCCCUUCCAGAAUGUAAACCCCACACGAGUCAAAGUGACAUCAUUUGCACCCAUUUCAUCCUACCUUUUAACUAGAACUCUUGCUUUAAGUCUCUAUGGGAAUUGACUGGAGUAGGUUCUCUGGCGAAACAGACAAAAUGACCUUGUCAAAAUCUACCGUAGAAAAGCAGAGUAGAAUUUUCUCUACUUCUAGUCUUCUAUUCUCUUCCAUUUCCCUUACCCCCACUCAUACUUUCAUUUUUUUCUUUAUACCUCUAUAAAAAAUAUUCUGAGCUGCUGACGUGAUUGAAUCUCAACCUUUCAAAUACGAGAGGAGAGAAGGGGAAAUAAUCCUAGAAAAAGUGACUCCACCGGUGCUCCAAUCAUGUGAGUUGACUUGGCGCCAAUUCAAAAAAUCAUCUCCAUUGGUAGAAAAAUAUUAAGGCAAUUGGAACAAGUGUAGCAACCCCACCUGAGCUUGCACUUGCAAGCAAUUAGAGCAACUCCAGCGUUGCAAAGGCCCUUAGGGCAACUCACUAUUAAAUAACCUCCAGUAAAUAAUAACUUUCAUUAAUGAACAAUAACUAUCUUUUGCAUCUCCAAUCCUAAACUAAAUAGUCAUGGCAAUAGGCAAUAAAAUAUUAGUAUUUUUUAUUUUAUAAAAUAAUACAAAAUAAUUUUAUUUGUAAUUUCGAAUAAGAUUUUUAAUUGUUUUCGUUGCGCUACGUGUCAUUAUCCGAGAAGACAAUUUUUGGUGAUAGAUUUCGAUAAGAUAUCUAUUCAAUGUCGUCGUGCCACGUGUUGUUAUCUUUUCAGAAUCGUUGAGGAUAUAUUUUCAAUAAGAUUUUUAACCAAUCACGUCGCGCCACGUGUCACAAUUUGUUUACAAUCUUUGAGGAUAGACUUCAAUCAGAUUUUUAACGAAUGAUGGCAUGCCACGUGACAUUAUCUACAACCUAAUAUGAAAUUGUGGUGUAAGAUAGAAGAUAAUGAGUAGGUAUUUAUAGAAAAGUAAAAUAAUUUUUUUUUCGGAUUUUUCAUUAAUUUUAACAUUUUUAUUAACUUAAUUAAUCUCUGCAGUUGGACUAAAAAAAAUUUGAAAUCCAACCUUCCAGAUUGUGCCAUGUGGCACAACAGUAACAUUUCAAAAUUUAUUAAUGUGAAUUCUUUUUUUAUUUAUUUUUAAAGGCGAAUAAUGUGGAUCGUUGAUCUCAAAUCCAACGGCUGAUACUGUGGAAGGUUUCAAAUUUUUUUUACCAUUGGAAAUCCAACGGUGUAGAUAAAGUAAUCGUUGAAAUCCAACAGACAAGAAAAAGCCACGUGGCCACCAACAGGUAACAUUUCUGCCGUCUACGCCGUGGGCCCCAGUGCUUGAUGCAAAAAUAAUUAAAUAAUGGCUGACGCCACCCUGACGUCAGCGUUGCAUCACAUGACCCUCAAGCUCUCGGGCCACCAAUUCGCAUUGGGCCUUUCACUCAGGCCCCCCUCCCCAAUCGCACGCAUGGGCUGGAGGUUGUUGCUGGGGCUAUUAGGUCUUCAAAGUUGUCGGUCCAUCGGGCUUCAGCUCCUGCUGGAGUUGCUCUUAGAGCAAGGGCAGCAGCCCGUUGGGCUGUCCUACUUGUUCAAGCAUGGGCUUGGGCCUGUAGGCAACUGAAACUAACGUCUGUGCAGGUCCACCACGUGCAAUCCACUAAGGCAAAAACCUCGCACUCACCCGUUAGAUUUUUAAUGGUCUUCUCAUCGACCGUUGGAUUUUCAACAAUAAAAAAACUUGAAAAUUAUAGUUUGUGCCACGUCGCACAAUUUGGUGCAUCUAAUUUUUUUUUUUUGGAAAUCAACGACUAGGAUUAAUCCAAAGGUAAAAAUUCCACAAAAUGUCAAAAAAAAAAAAAAUACAAAAUUUUGUUUAGUAACACAUUAACACUUAAACAAACUCCAAAGUUCAACCAUCUUCUUUAUUCACCUUUUACCUUUAAUUAAUUAUGCUUGUUUGUACUACUAUGUUUUGCUUGGUUUUCGAGAUGCCAAAAUUCCAACUGUACUAUGAUUCUCCAAUUUGUAUUCAUUUUGAGUAAUGCUGAGGAGAUUACACAUUUUUACUACAUUUAAUGUAUUAUCUCAUAUGACAAAUAAUGCAUACAAACAAAAAUAAUGCAGUCCAUAUCUCUAUUAGGGCUGGGUUAGGUUUGAAACGGUUCGGUUUUUAGUCAAAAUCGAAACCGAACCGAAAUUUCGGUUCAGUUCGGUUCGGUUCAAAUUUUUUCGGUUCGGUUUUUUUCGAUUUUGAUUUUUUUCGGUUCGGUUUCAGUCCGGUUCGGUUUUUUCCAUGAUAUUUUUUUUUUAAUUUGGAACAAAUCUGCAACGAUUAAUUGCGAGCACUGAAGAUGCAGAAACUUAUUGGGUAUUGGUGCAAAUGAAUAUGAACUGGAACAAAUCUGCAAAUCUGCACUGGAAGAAAUCUGCAAAUGAAUACGAACUGGAACAAAUCUGCAAAUGAAUACGAAAAUUACAAUAUAAAAUCCCAAAUCCCAACAAAUCUGCAAAGAUUAUAACAUGCAAAAUCCCAACUAAUAAUUAAAAGAAAAACCCAUUUUAAUUCAGUAAAUCACAAUAUAAAAUCCCAACAAAUCUGCAAAUGAAUACGAAAAUUACAAUAUAAAAUCCCAACAAAUCUGCAAAGAUUAUAACAUGCAAAUCCCAACAAAUAAUGAAAAGAAAAACUCAUUUUAAUUCAGUAAAUCACAAUAUAAAAUUAUAAAUCAUAUUAGUUUUGAUUCGAAAAUUACCUAUGAGAGAUCGGAAAACCCGGAUUCGAAUCUUCUAAUUUAGAGGGGGUUUUGAUUCGAAAGGGGCGAGGGAAAAUCAUGGUUUGGAAGAAGGAAUCCGUGAGGAGGACAUGAGAAGACUGGAGAGAGAGUGAUUUGGAGGAAGAGAGGAAGGAGAGAGAGAGAGAGAGAGAGAGAGAGAGAGAGAGAGAGGCUGAGGAAGCAAAGGCAGAGAGAGGAAGCAGCGGAGGGGAGUGUUUGAAAUCUGAAAUGGGAAGUGAGACAAAGUGUGAGACGGCUAGGGUUUGUAAAGUUAAGAAAUUUUAUAAAGCAUUAAAUACAAGAAACCUAUAAAUAUUGUACUGGUACAAUUAUAACAACUCAAAGCCUACAGUCAAGUUGGCUUGCAGCAACUAAUCCUAAGCUGUAGGGAAGGGGUUCAAACCCCGGCGCCAACAUGUUUUUUUAGAAUUUAUAUAUGAUUUUUUUUUCGGUUCGGUUCGGUUUCCGAACCUCAAAAACCGAAACCGAACCAACCAGAUUCGGUUCGGUUCGGUUUGGCAGUUUCGGUUCGGUUUUUUCGACUUCGGUUCGGUUUGGUUUUCGGUUUUUUGAACCCACCCCUAAUCUCUAUAAAACCUCUCUUUUGUUUGGUGAACCAUGUACCUAACACCUUUUGAACGGGAAUGCGUACGUACUAAUUGAAUUCUUGAAAUUUCAUUUCGCGCAAUAAACAAAUGUAAUCCCACUGACAUCAUUUGCACCCAUUUCUCUAUGUUGGAACGUCAUCAUACCCUUUAAUUUUAACUCCUCUUAGUCUGUGUGAGUUGACAAGGGAAAGGUCCUCAGGAUAAUAAGGCAAAAUGAUCGUAUCAAAAUCGGCUAUAGAAUCCUUUUGACAAAAAAAAAAAAUAAAAAAAAAUAAAAAAAAAAAUUAAAAAAUAAAAAAUAAAAAUAAAAAUCUGCUAUAGAAUCAAUCGGCACUGACCUUCUUGGGAAAACACAUCCGCUACAUGUUCACACAGCAUUCAGCCUCACGCACCAGCUGCUUGAGGACGCGAAGGAUAGGCCGUUGGAUUUUCCACGUUAAAAAAAUGAAAAAUUAUAAGUUGUGCUAAGUUGCAUAAUGUGGUGUAUUUAAAAAUUAACCGCCAUAAUUAAUUCAAAGCAAAAAAUUUAGAAGAAAAUGCAAAAAAUUCCUAAAAGAUACAAAACUCUGUUCUAGAACACACUUAAAAUUAAACACACUAAAACAAACUGAUAAAAGUUCAACCAUCUUCUUCAUUCACAUUUGAUCUUUAAUUAAUGGGUAAAUUACAUUUUACCACCCCAGAUUUAAGGUUUAUUACAACCUCAUACAACAUCUUCAAAAAAUUUCACUUUCAUAUCUCAUGUACUAUUUUAUUUCAAUAUAAUGCAUCUGAUACAUUUUUCAUCAAUUGGACCGUUAAGAGUUGAUGUGGCUGUCACAUUUAUGCCACGUGACUGCCACAUUUAUGCCAUGUGGCUGACCAAUUAAUAAAAAUAUUAAAAUAAUUAAUUAAAAAACAAUAGAAACCCCCAUUUGUCUUCCUCGAGCACCCUCUUCUCCCAUCCCUCGUCACCAUGGUCUAAAAUAUCCAUAAUAUCCCGAUAUUUCCAUCGAAAUUUCCGUGUUUUUGGACUACCGAUAUUUUUUUGGACUAUCGAUAUUUCCGAUAUCAUCGAUAUUUUAGACCUUGCUAAGUCACUCAUGUAUCUUACCAUGCAAUGUAUAAAGUGUAAAAUAUUGUACUAAUUCAUUAUAUAUAAAUGAUUAUGGUGUGUUUAAACUUCUUUCAUUAAUUACUACAUAUUUUCUACACUCACAAUGUUUGCCAGCUCGCUAUAUAAUCAACUUAAAUCAGUUAUAUCUAUCAUGCAAUGCAUUUCCUUCCAAUUUUUUUGUAAUAAACUAAUAGAUAAUUGACUAAAUAAACAUCCUGUAAAGUUUCAAUAAAAUUUCCAAGUUUUUCUUACAAUUUCCGUGGUUUUUAUUCAAUUUUUAUCGAUAUCGAUAAUAUCCCGAUAUUUCGAUCGAAAUUUCCGUGUUUUUGGAUUAUCGAUAUUUCCGAUAUUAUCGAUAUUUAAUACCUUGCUCGUCACCAACCCUGUCCCCUAAUUUUUUCCCCCAAACAAAGCCCAUCACCUCCUCCUCUCCUCCCGUUGCAACAUUUCCUCCGUUAGCCCGAGGAGGUAUCUCAUCACUAGACCCUGAAUCGCUUAAGACCAACCUAGACCUCUUCUUGUCCUUCGGUUCAAAAACCUUCCGAGCACUCGAAGAACCAACAACACCACUCAACCCCUUAGGUUUCUUCCUCACAAUUAAGCAACCUGAAGAAUUUUUCUUCACCAAAACCCCAGAAGGGCCAACAGAUCUCACACCUUCGUCCAUCUACAUCAACCGCUAGAAACCAAAAAACCCUAAUUUUUCAAAACCCGCCCCUAAUUUUUCAAAACCCGCAGUCCAAUUGAAAGGGCAAAGGAAUAUUUCACAAAAAUCUUACCUCGCAGGAGAGUCUGGAACUCUGCCUAUUGAAGAUAUCUGAUCGCUGUCGCAAUUCUCCAAAUCAGAGAGAAAGGGGAAGGUUCAGACGGAGAAAGAGAGGGAGAGACAUAGAGAGAAGGGCUGGGUUUGGAUUGUAAAUAUAUGCAAUUGCAGGGCAGAUCAGAGAAGGGGUGGCUCGGGUGGGUGAUGGGGGAUGGGAGAAGGAGGUGCUCGAGGAAGACGAAUGGGGGUUUCUGUUUUGUUUUUUGUUUUUUGUUUUUUUUUGUUUUUUAGUUUUCUUUAAUUAAUUAUUUAAAAUGACAUGACUGCCACAUUUGCGCCAUAUGGCUAAACAAUUAAUUAAAAAAAAUUAAUUUUUUUUAUUAAUUGUUUAGGCACGUGGCUCAAAUGUGGCAGUCAUGUCAGCUCUUAACGAAUUAAUGGAUGGAAAAUAUAACAGAUGUAUUAUAUUGAAAUAAAAUAGUACAUGAGGUAUGAUAGUGAAAUUUUUUGAAGAUAUUGUAUGAGGUUGCAAUAGACCUCAAACUUGAGGUGGUAAAGUGUAAUUUACCCUCAAUUAAUUAUGCUUGUGUUGUAAUGUUAUGCUUUACUUUGUGUUUAAUUAAAUUAUUUGAGUUAAAUAGGGAAUUUUAUUUUUAAAGAACAAACUUGUUAAGUACAUACUCACAAGACGUUGGCGGGCCCUACAUCUGUUAGAGAAAUGUAGGUCCUGGCAAACAGGUUGUGUUUACCGUGUUCGUGGUGUUUUCGUGUAACACCUGUUAUCUUAACGAGUCGGGUCGUGUCGUAUCACACCAAUAUCUUAACAUGUUCUUAACAGGUCGGGCUAUUUAACCAGCAGGUAAAAUGACCCGUUAAGAUUUUUUUUUCUUUUAAAUUUGACAUACCACAUUGCCACAUAAAAUAUUACUUCGAAAACUAAUUCGAAACGAAAAACCCCAAAUUGAAGAAAUGAAACCAAUCUAAUUCGAAAACUAAUUCACAGCAAAACCUUAUCUUUUGAAAGUGAUUCGAAAUAAUCAACAAUUACCUUGAUUAGGGCUCCAGAUUCGCUCAAUCCAGAGAGAGAAUAGAGACAAAAGUAGUAGAUCGACUGGUGGUGGGUUACUAGGUCGUAUGUGGUGAGGGUGGUGUUGUGGAGGGAGACUAGAGAGGAUGGUCGUGGACUCGUAGCUAGGUGGAGUUGAGGUUCGAGACUGAGAUUCGAGAGUUUAGUUUGAAAAAGAAAGAGUCUCUGCUUCGAUUCGAGCAUUCGAGAAUAAGAGAGGAGUCUGAUUUAAGGCUGAGAAAAACAUUGGACGGCUGAGAUUUAAUCUUAGCCGAUCCAAUGGUCAUCAAUUUUCUAAUUUUUUUAAAUAUAUAGGAAAACUAAUGAAAAUGGCUUGAAAAUUUUGAAUUUUAAUCAAAAGGACAAAAAUGUGUUGUAAGUGAAUAGUACUAUGAGUGACUUUUUAGAGUAAAAUUGUCAUUUUUCGUUAAAGUGAACAGUACCAGGAGUGUUUUGUUAAAACUCCCUAUAUAUAUAUAUAUUAACUUUCAAUUCAGUUUAGGAUUAAAUCCUUUUGUUGUUAAUCUUAAUAUUUCUUUCUAGUGGUAUGAAAAUUUUAAAUUAAUAUUUUUCCUAUUAUGUAACGGGUUACCCACGUGUGUACCGACCCGUUAUUUAACAGAUGCUUAUCAGGUUACCGGAUAAUGACUCGAUUUGUUAUUGUGUCAACCUGAAAACCUGUUGAUUUCGUGUCGUGUAAAAAAUUGCUAGGCCUCGAGAAAUGUUAUAAAUAGAUGGUAAAUAUAUCAUUAUUUUUUUUUUGUUUUAUUUUGUCUUGUUGCGUGUUACACUUGGGACCCACGUCCCACUUUGAUAUCCUAUUCCCCUCGGACUUGGCUUCUCUGCCCUCCCAAUUCCCAGACACUCUCAUCCCCUCCUAUUUGUGCUGUCAUGGUUAAACCAUGUCAACAUUUUAUAUUACUAUUGCUUUUUGUCUUAUUAUUUCUAUAAAAAAAAUCAAUAUAAAAUGUUGACGUGGCUUAACCGUGACCGUACAAAAUAGGAAGGGAUGAGAAUGUAUGGAAACUGGGAGGGGCAGAGAAGCCGGGUCCAUUCCCCUCUCAUUUUUGUCUCACUUCAGUCAUCCCCCUCUCUAGUUUUGACUUUUCUUUUUUGUCUCCUACUUUCUCUCAUAUUUUGUCAUUGAGUCUCUCUCCUUAGUCUCAGUCUCUCUUAACGAGUUCGAUAUGUGAUGAGAAGGUCCCACUGUUUUACACAUUAAUAUUACUGUGAUGAUAUGUGUGCAAGAAACAUUGGACAACAACUCUACAAGCUGCUCUCAUAGAGAAAUUAGGCUCUUACAUGAGCAUAUAUUAUUUGAUGGAGAAAUUAGGCUCCCGUCCUUAAUUAUUGAUCUUCUUUGAUUAAAACCUUGUUAUUUUUUACUUUUUGAUCAAGGUCCUUGAAGUUUGUACACAUCAGCAUUUUAUUAUCAGCAUAUUUCCAUGUCAGCUUUUUAUUUUUAUUUUUAUUUGAAAUAGUUAAUUAGUGCUUUUUUUUUUAUCUGAGGCUGCAUUUUUAUUCUACGACUAUUAUGCCUCAAAUGCCUCCUAUGCUUACCAAAUUGAAUAUGACGCAUCAAUUCCACCAAAUAAUCCCGCUCACUUGAUUUCUUCUCUUUUUGAUUUUCGUAACUGCAAAUUCCACAAUAAUCUCACUAAGUUUUUCAAAUCCAUCAUUAUUAUCUUUGAUAUGAUGCUUCGAAUUCAAGUUUGGCCAAGAUUUGAAUCGAAGUCAUACUUUAUCUGCGAGCAUUCGAGCGAGCACAAUUUUUUGCAGAGUAACUUGAAGAAUCAAUGACAAUUCCGAGCUAAAAUUCGAGGUUUUUUUUUCUUUUAUAUUUUUUGAAUUUGCACCCAUAGUUCAUUUAUACUGAUUUGUCCGCAAUGGUGGAUUCUUGGUGUUAUAAUUUUCGAACCCAUAUUUACAAGUAGUGUAGUAUUGAUUUCACAAUUGGUUUUGCAUAUGUAAAAUGAUUAUUUUUCAAUAUUUUUUUGGCAUAUAUUGGGGAACUUCAAUGAGUUCAGCAUGUAUCUUGUGGUUUUGCAGUGUUUUUCUGGUGCAUACCAAGUGUUUGUCGAAAUGUUUGAAAGAGAAUUUCGUAUACGAAAAUUUUGUAUGCAUAGAAACUAUUUAUAAAAAUUCUUGAAUAUGUCUUUUUCUCUAUUGUGGUGGGCAUGGGUACAAUUCAAUUUCAUUGGAUACAUUUUUUAACAAUGGAUCAUGUGUUGAUGUGGUGGAAACUACUGAUGUUGUGGAAGUAUAGGUAGGGGUACAACAGAAAUAUAGACCAGAUAAGUCAAGGGAGGACCGGCUAUGGCCGAGAGUUUUUGUCAUCUAUUUUUCUGUUUGACAUAUACCGUAUUUGAGAGGUGGGGGGGGGGGUGGGGAAUUGGCUGUACAAACAGCAAAUAAUAAUGUUCGGUGGAAACUACUGAUGUUGUAGAAGUAUAGGUAGGGGUACAACAGAAAAACAGAGCAGAUAAGUCAAGGGAGGACCAGCUAAGGCCGAGAGUUUUUGCUAUCUAUUUUUCUGUUUAACAUAUACCGUAUUUGAGGGGUGGGGGGCGAGGUGGGGAAUUGGCGGUACAAACAACAAAUAAUAAUGUCCGGUGGAAAUUACUGAUGUUGUAGAAGAAUAGGUAGGGGUACAACAAAAAAACAAAGCAGAUAAGUCAAGGGAGGACCAGCUAAGGCCAAGAGUUUUUGCCAUUAUUUUUCUGUUUGACAUAUACCGUAUUUGAGAGGGGGGUGUGAGGGGAAUUGGCGGUACAAAUAACAAAUAAUAAUUGGACAUGGUUUCAUUCAUCUUUCUAGUUUUCCUUUUGGAAAUUUAUUGCACUUUUCAUGUCAAGCUAGAAUGCUUUGGGUUAAUGUUGUGUCCACUUUCUUUUAUCUUUUCAGAUGGAAGGUGCUAUAGUGGGGAGAUGCACUCAUCAGGGUACCAUUAUAUCUAUCCCAAUUUUUUGCCACAUUACAUUCUCUGAAGUGUACAAUGAGGUUUGCUCAAGGCUCAAUUUGACUCAUGGUUUAUUCGACUUUACAUAUGCUUUACCUAGAUAUUCUACUUGUCUAUUGCAAUAUAAUAUGGACGUGCGGAUGUUGUAUAUGUCGGUUGUCAACGAGAAAUAUUAUUGUGUUGAUAUAGUUAUCAACCAAAAGUCGUGCCGUGACAAUGAUCAUGUCAGCCGAAAUACCAAUGUUUCGCAAACAUUUAUAAUUGAAGGAAAUAUUCACAGCGAUGGGAAUGAGUAUUUAGGAAAUAUGCAACACCAGGAGGCAAGGUAUCUAUGUCAAACUCUUGGAAGACCUACAUUAAUCAUGUAAAUCAAGGAUUUGAAGGUGGAGUGGAAGAAUUCAGAGACAAAAAGAGAAGAAUUGGCAUAAGAAGACUUGAAUAUGUUGGACAAAAAGAGAAGAAUCAGCAUAAGAAGACUUGAAUCCCUAAGAAAGCAAGAACUUGGAAAACCUCUCAUUCCAAGCUCUAGGUGCUUGUUUGAGUCCAUAUAAAGAACUUUCCAAUUUACACACAUACUUAGGAUGUACAGGAUCCAAAAAACCUUGUGGUUGAGCCAUAUAAACUUCUUCAUCAAGAAAACUGUCGCACUCCGGACCCGGAGUCGGUAAUAAAAACUCGAACCCGAAUCUGAAACGUGAGUUAAAAGCUAAAUAAAUAAAAGGAAAUUGACACGAGUUGGAAAAAUAAACUCCUCUUAUUAAAAUAACUCCAAAAUCCUUACAGGAUGUACAAAAGUAAUAAAUUAAAAUCCUUAAAACUCUUAUCCAACACAGCUUCAGCUCGUCUAUCACCUGUCUUGCUAAAUAACAUCUAUCUUGCCAAAUAACUCAUCUAUAAAAUAAUAGGUGAGGGGUGAGCAACAACCACCGUCACUCAGUAAGUAGAAUAUGUAGUAUGCAAGUCAAGCAAUGCCUUUUUAUACACUAAAAAAAAUAGAAUAAUAAUAUCAAAGCCUUAACCACGUAAUUUCAUAUCACAUCAUCCCUUUACAUGUUCAUUACAUCCUUCAUAAAUUGUAACUCACCACGUGACCCCUACUGGCCUUUCCGCCCUAAUGUCCCCGUGUGCAGUUUACAUUUAUCCCUCGGAUUAAUGCAACACUAAAGUUCUCAUGCUCCAUGAACAUAUCCAAAUAAUCCACAUAUCACCAUAUUAAUAAUUCCAAAGGGAUUUCAACAAAUCCAACAUGCUUGACUUAAAAUAGAUAGAGAUUUAUAAAUAUAUAAAACCCACAAUAGUUUGUGGUUUUUAUUUAUCAGAAAAUAAGAAUAUUUUGAAACACAUUACAUAAACCACUCACCUCGAUAAUCCAAGCUUUGGCAAGACAACCUAACUAACAAUCUCCACACAACUAGCAUACUAACCUAAACUCUCUUUCUUGUCUCUCUGUAACCCGAUCUCUCUCCACACACACACACAUAUACACGGACAUACAUGCAUGGCUUCCUAGCAGCCAACAUAUGUUUCCUAAAGUGGUGAAUAAAAGAAUGAAAUGCAACCUCUAUUUAUAGUAGAAAGGGUCGGCUCCCUACAAUGUAAAAUAUAUUAUACGUAGGGAUAGAAAUGUAACUGACGAAUGGCCAGUUGACAAGUGGGUUUCAAGGUGUCGUUGUGCAUGGGGUAGAUGACUUAGGAUUAACACAUGUGGCUUUGCCAACAAUGGUGGAAGCUGGUGGUGUCAAUGGAAUCCCUCAAAACCUCACACCUCAUUGUAAAUAUAACAGUUGUCAAGAAAAUGAAGUGCUACGUGUUGGACUAUGAAGGAAGCCAUCUAAUUGUUGGACACCUCAAAGCAAAAUGGGAUAGACUUCAAUUGCAAGACUACACCUUGCUAAUUGUAAGAAACUAUCGACUAGAAGUUGACAGCAAAAUGCAAAAACUAAUAUGUAAUAUAUAUAUAUAUAUAUAUAUAUAUAUAUAUAUAUAUAUAUAUAUGGAAAAGAAAUACACAAUAUCAUAGUAGUUUCAAAAUACCAUACGUUCCAUAUUUUAAAAAUACGGGUUCUCACAAAAACCAUGAAGAAAUGCAUUUUUCACAUCCAAUUGGUUGAGUUUCCAGCCAUUUGUAGUAGCCAAGGACAAAACCAAUCGUACAGUUGUAAGCUUAACCACUGGACUAAAGGUUUCAUAAUAGUCGAGCCCAGCUUCCUGUGAAAACCCCUUAGCAACUAACCUAGCUUUAUACCGAGCUACAGAACCAUCGGCAUUCUUUUUGAUUUUGUAAAUCCACUUGCAGCCUACAAGGUUCUUGUUUGGAGGAAGAGGAACCAGUUUCUAGGUCUGUUGUUGAACCAAAGCUUGCAUUUCUUCCUUCAUAGCAGCCUGCCAUUCCACAGACUUGGAAGCUGCGGAAAAAGUUUGAGGUUCUGUGCUAGAGAGAUCACCACCAACUUUAGCCGAAAAAACUUUCUUUUUCACAAUACCAGAUUUCGAUCUGGUUUGCAUAGGAUGACUAUUAAGUGUGGACACUAGUACGAACUGUAAUGUAUCAACUUGAGAUGUAGAAGUGUUAGGAUGUAAUUCUGUAUGACUGAGAGACUGUGCAUCAGGUCCAGAAUGAGACACUUGUGUAGUUGAUCUGGGAGGAAGAGAUGCUUGAGGAGAGACAAGGUCACCCGUGUUAUUUGUUGAUGCUGAACUGGACUGAGUAACAGUAGGUGUUGAAUCUCUAGAACCCAUUAAUUGUGACAUUUGAGGUAAAGGUAUAGGUAUAACCAGAGGAUGUUCAAAAGUGUUAAGAUGUACAACAGCACUAGGAGUAGGAGAUGAUGCAUGACUGGAAGAAGAAUGUAAUAAUUUUGUACUAGGAAAUGAUGCAUGACUGGAAGAAGAAUGUAAUAAUUUUGUACUAGGAAAACUAUGUUCAUCAAACAAAACAUGUCUUGACACAAGAAGUUUAUGAGUGCUGAGAGAAAAACAAAUAUAACCCUUGUACUGUGAAACACACCCAACAAAUAUACAUUCUGUAGUUUUUGGAUCUAACUUAUUGCUCCUAUAAGGUCUCAUGGAAGGAUAGCAAGCACACCCAAAGACUCUCAAGUGUUCAAGUGUAGGUGGAGACUUAAACAGACAUUCAAAAGGAGAUUUCAUGUGAAUAAUAGGUGUAGGCAUCCUAUUGAUUAGAUAGGCAGUAGUGGCACAAGCAUGAAACCAAAAAUAAGAAGGCAUGGAUGCUUUUUGAAAUAAAGUAAUAGCAGUUUCCAACAGAUGCCUAUUUUCCUCUCAGCCAACCCAUUUUGUUCUGGGGUAUAAGGACAAGACAUUUGAUGAACAAUACCCUUAUCCCUAAGAAAUGCUUUGAAAGCUAAACCCACAUAUUCACCCCCACCAUCACUUUGAAGUGUUUUAAUAGUUGUAUGAAACUGAAUUUUAACAUAGGCAACAAACUGAGCAAAAACAGAUAGAACUGCAGCUUUAUUGAUAAUAAGGAAAACCCAUGUAUAUCUCGUAAUUUCAUCCACAAAGGACACAUAAUACCUAAACCCUUCUGAAGAUAUAAUUGGAGCAGGACCCCAUACAUUAGAAUGUAUUUCUUCAAAAGGAAGAACAUAUUUUGAAGCAACACUAGGGAAAGGUAAUUUGGAAAACUUGCCUUGCAAGCAAGAGAUACAUGUGGUUGAAUCUUUAUUACAGGGAAUAGAAAUGGAGGAAUUCCUAGGUGCUGCAGUAGUAAUAGCAUUCGAAUGAUGCCCUAACCUACAAUGCCAAAAUUCAAAGGACACAUUUUGACCCAAAAAUGCAGCUGGAGUAGGCAUUUGUGAUUUGGAAGACUUGAGAAUUGGAAUUGGGUAGACUGCGUUGUUACUCAGUCCGUGAUAUAACACUUUCCUGGUGACCUUGUCCUGUAUACAAAUAGAGAACUCAUCAACAAUACAGCGACAUGUGUUGUCUUUACACAAUUGGUACAUAGAAAGCAAAUCUUGAGACAAUUUAGGAACAUGUAAUACAGAAUUAAGCUGAAAUGUAUGCAAUUUGGUGGGGAAAACAGUGUUGCUAAUAUGAGUAAUACUUAAACCUUCACCACCAGCACCAAUGAUUGUCUCAGUUGAUGGAUAAGGAACUGCAGAUUGAAGAUUAGCAAUAUCUGAAGUCAUAUGGUUGGUUGCACCAGAAUCAACCAGCCAAAAAUCUUGGUGAGGUGCACUUGGAGACAAAUUGGCCCAGGCUUGCAUAUCAACAGGCUGAAAUGAGUGAUAUUGAAGAGGUUGCUGCACUAGUGAUCUAGAGGAAUAAUAACCAGAUGGAACUCCAAUAGAGGAAGAUGGAUGUACAUGAAACUAUUGAGAGGAAGAACUAGCCAUAGGAAACUGUGAGGAAGUGACUGAAAAAUGUUGUGAAGAAGAAACAUUCUUGUCAAAACAAGUAGCUGCAGCAUGUCCUUUUCUGUGACAGAUUUGACACCUAUUCUGAAAACAGUUGAGAGCCGAAUGACCUUUCUUGUCACAAAUUUGACAAAUUUGAAAAGGAUUAUAGGCUGAACCAGAGUGAGAUUGAAUAGGAAAGAAACUCUGAGAAUUAUUUGCACCAUACAGAGACUGUGGUGCAGAUUGAGAACUUGAGUAAAACCGUUUGCCCUUGCCUUUAGACUUGAAAUUAUUAUUACCUCUGAAGUUGUUAAAUAAACAAGAGGCAUAUUGAGAAGGGAAAACACACGGUGGAUUAUCAGGCAUAGUUAUCUGAAUAGGUACUGGAUGUGGAAAUCCAGGCAUUGACAAAGUUGAAAAUCCUGACAUAGACAUCUGGGAAUGAGGCAAAGAAGUCCCAAUGUGCAUUCCAGCAUGUCCCGAAGACUGACCUUGAUCAUAUGUAACUCGACCCUGAGCAUACAUAGCAGACAUUAAAGGAAUUUGCUUGUGAACUUCAUCUAGUGUAGAUUCUUCAGCCUUCAAUUGAGAUAUGAGUUCUUUCAAGGACACCAAACUUUCCCUGCCACGAAUUACAACUUUGAUGGUGUGGUAUUUAGAUGGUAAACCCCGUAAAGCCAUAAUAACAAUAUCUUCAUCAGAAAUAGUCACUCCAAUAGCAACCAAUUGAUCUUUAGAAUCCUUGAUCCGCUAAAGAUAUUGAUCAAUUGACUCAUGCCCUUUUUUAAUAUUUUGUAAGUCAAUUUUCAUCUGCACAAUGCUAGUACGAGUGACACUAGCAAAUCGUUCAUGAAGAUUAUCCCACAUUUCCUUGGAACUCUAGCAGCCAAUGAUGCAGGACAAUGCAGAAGUGGAUAAAGUAGCAGCAAUAAGAGUCAUGAGAGCUUUAUCAUGAAUCUUCCAUAUUUUAUAUGCAUCAGAGAUGACUGGAGUAAUGUCAACAGUACCAGCCACAUAAUUAUUAUCCUCAAAUUUCUUAGGACAAGAAAUUGAGCCAUCAACAAAACCAAUUAUACCAUUUCCUUCCAGAAGAAGAUCCAUUUGGAAAUUCCAGGUAACAUAGUUAGAGUUAUCUAAUUUCACUGUCACAAUGUUGCCUACACUCAUAAUUAAUGAGGAAAUUGGCAAUUGAGUAAGAGCCAACUGAUUAGGGUUCACCAUUGUGUAUAGCCAAGAUUACUUCACUACACAUAACACUUCAAAAUCGCCAAAUAAAAAAAACACAUAAAGCAUCACUAGGAUUCAAAAACCACAACCACCAGAUUGAAGGGAAAAAUAAUGAGAUUCUAGAAUGGGAUUUCAAAUAGACUAUCAUGCAUAUACAAAUCAAAUUGAAUAUACGAAAGCAGCAGAAGCAUUUAUAACAUAUUAUCAAAGCUAUAGUCAUGCAAAUCCCCUUCAAGGUUCAUAGGUUUAUAUAGACAAAAGAAACCUAGUCAACACUUGACUAAAUAUCUCACCCUUUCCACCUUAAAGUGGCCGGCCUCAAAACAUUUUAAAGAAUCAAGAACAAAGUGAAGGUUAGUCUUAUACCUCUUGAUCUAGACUUGAGACCAAGGAUGGACCACCUCCAAGCCCUUUGCUCCUUGAAAUCCUUGAGCCUAGCUUCCCUCCUUGCCUCCUCCACUUUGAUAAAAUGAGUGCUCCUAGGUUCUCUUCAAGUUUCCAAAGUAGGAAACCUCUAAAGAUCCUCACCCAUUAGUGUAGUGAGAAGGAUGAAGGAAUAACCAAAAGGGUGUAAGAGAUGUUAGUAAAAACCCCCUUUGGUGGCCGGCCUUUGUGUAGUUUAGAGAGCUAUUUUUCUUUUGCCUCUUUGUUGUUUUUAACACACAAAAACCCUAAUGAACAAUAUCUUAUAAAGUUCCUUAUAUAGACAAAAGAAACCUAGUCAACACUUGACUAAAUAUCUCACCCUUUCCACCUUAAAGUGGCCGGCCUCUUUGUUGUUUGUUUGGGCUUUGGGCUUUUAUUAUUUCAAGUCAUCCAAUGCUUGAAUAAAAGCCCAAUGGAUUUAGGCCCAAUGGGCCCAAUUAAACCCGAACGUUUCUUAAGCCCAAAACGAUCUUUAUCGCUUUUAUGAUUUCUUUAGACUUUCUAAAUUAAUCACAACAAUCAAUUAAUCCAAUUAAUUAUUUCCAUCAUCCAUUAGUUACUCACUACAAUAGUGUUGUGGCGAACAAUCUUUUAGGUUCUAAUUAGCAAGGCAGUGAGGUGAUUGGCAUCAAUCCAAUUGCUUAUAUUUAAUUCAAUCACUUAGUGAAUUAAAACUUCAUUUUAAUUCACCUUUCUUCUUUGACGACUACAUUUAAUCAUCUAGAAGAACUCACAAGCUAUGAGUGACAUCUAACCAUAUGUCAUAGCUACCCAAACUAAUGUAGAAGUUUAUUCGAAGAACCUAGUCAGUUGGAAUUAUAAUGUAAUUCAAUCCUUCUCUAAUUCAAUACUCUCAAUCACAUCAUUAGGGUAUGGAUAUAUCAUGUCAAACCCCUAAUGUGAUUAUUCCUUCUUAUAUGAUCCAAUUGAGUCGUAUAGGAACGCUUUCCUUUAUUACGCUCGAUACUUCGGCCGAAGAUUCCCGAAUCAUAUCUUAGAGUAUUCUUCCUCUCUUAUCGAGGAUUAGAGAUUCCUUGUUGCGCAUACACUUGCCUUCAUGACUAAGUGGCUUAACCACAACUAUGCCGUUGACAUUCUGAUAGAGUGACGUUGACAUAAUCAAAGAUUAAGUACUUAACCACAAGACAACGGCGAUGCCUCAGGUCAAAGGACUACUUACAUUAUUCCAACCAUUAGAGUUACUUGCUUGACAUGUGAGUAGACCUCCAUGCAAGUACUCUCUUUCGAUUGUGUUCAGUGAACUCAUUCCCUUAAUGAGCACCUACAUACUUGUCUUAGUGUCACAACACGAAUGGGAUGAGACUUUCCAUCCUUCCAAUUGAAGCGGACACAGUAUGUACCGGUCUAAGCAUUGUCAGUAUCCCUCCGACAAUCCAACGACCAGGAACCUUUUGGACAUAAUGGUUAUGUGAAGAAGGUCUCUGUAGUCUAACUUCAUUAGAUUACUUCUUCAAUCGAUCCAUUGUCCAUGGAUUCACUAUUCAGGACAUAUAUUGUUUAUUGAGAUAGUCCUAAUUAGUUUCUUUGCCAUUUGAUGUAUAAGAAUCAUCCAUACAUCGAUUCAUUUGUCCUGAAAGAUUUCUUCCAAAGAUUGACUUUCAGGGCAUAUUUCCAACACAGAUAGCCGCAAAUCUUUGAACAUGCACAAUAUUGCAGAAAGAACACAACAAUUCGAAAGAAGCACAAGUACGAAAUCGAAUCAGAAAGUAGAGAAUCACAAUUAACAGAUGCAAGAGAGAGGAAGAAACACCUUGCAAGCGACAACAACGAACGCAGAAGUAACCAUCGGCUUCUACCAUGACUGUACACCAAAAUCCGCAAAUCUUAGGGUUUGAGCACCAACUUCGAUCGAACACCACUGACUUCAAUCGAAACACCACCGACGUCAAUCACCACUAACAACACAGCACGGAGCGACAAAAAAAGCAAGAGAUGAGCGGAAGCAACCAGGUCGUCAAUCGAUGACGGUGGCCAUGAUAGGCGAUGAUACCAUGUCAACUAUGAAGAAUUGUAGGAAGCAAUUGUAGAGUGAGAAAGUUAACAAACAGGAGAGAGAUACUGAAUAUUCUUUUUCUCAUUAAAAACCCGAUAAUUACACUUCAAUGUGGUAUAUAUAGUCUAUACCAGAGAACAACAAUUCUAACUAACUUUAUAAAACAAUCAAUUACAAUAUAAUACAUGUCACAUAUCCAACCAUUCUAUCAAUACAUCUGUCAUCCUAACAGCGACCUUAGGUUCAGAUGCAUUCACUGAAGUCAUUGUAGGUGCCAUUGGUGGAGGGAGAUUGAAAGAAGCUGAGAAUUCUAGUCUUUAAUUUGUAUGUCUAGAAGGAAAGUUAAUUGUUUGAGUGGUGUGGAGAAAUAUGGAAAAGGGAGUUGGUAUUUAUAGAGCAGGAUGGCAAGAUAAUAUAUGACCGACUUUAGUCGUGAGAAGUAUUUACAACGCAAGCACCCUUAUGGUCUUAACCCCAUAAGGUGGAGGUUUUUGAAUAAGUUGGCUAACGAUGACCUAAGUUUCAAAUUUGUUGUCCAGCUGCAACAAUAAAAUAUAUAUUAGUUUGUUGUUAACCACCAUGUAUAUGGAAAAUAUUAAUUCUUUAAAGACCAUGUAACUACAUUUAAAUUAUUUCUCUAAUAGAGAUGAGACACACUUGUUAGCCUUAUUAGGUUAUACAAUUAAGACACAAACGAAAGAGUGACUGACCUAAUUCCAAUGGCGGCCAUGGAAGUUGAAACCAAAAGUAGUAGAGCACGGCAACACCAGGAUCUUCUAUAAGCUACAACUACUCUAUGGGAAGCAUUGUAUUGUGUUAUCUAAGGCUUAUAGGGACCGGUGUUUAUAUAUAUAGGCUAAAAGAUAGGGUUUCCAUCCAUAAAGGAAAUCUAAACUUACUUUCUUAGCCUCUAAGUUAAGUAUCAUAAUUAUAAUCAAUUAGGGAUUCCAUCAAUCCUAUUUCCAAUAUAAGACACAUGAUAUAUGAUUAAUAUCUUUAAGAGAUCGAAUCAUAAUCAACAUUAUUUCUCCAAUAUGACAUUCCUAUUACAUGUAGUAGACCAGUUAAAGGUUGAUUUGUAUUGGAUAAAUCCAACAUUCUCCCACUUGGUCUACAAAAUGUAAUAUUCAUGUUUAUACUUGAGAUUGGAUACUAAUGUCUCUUUAGUGGCCAUGUAAUAGUGAUUACAUCUCGUCCUUAAUGCAGUUUCUGUCAAAUGCAUUUCUCAACAUGGAACUAACAAGGUUGUAGGGUUGACACAAUCUAGAACCUUCAUAAUCACACAUGCUAAGAUCCUCAUUCACAUGAAACACAAAUUAUGAUCAAGAGAUGAAACUUUAAAUAAACUUUAAGUUAACCAAAAUGUCUUACUUUAUAUCAUCUCAGGUCCAUCUUAUUGUAACACACAGGUUACACUUUUACACUUCUUCGAAGCCUUAAAUCUGCCAAUGCAGAUAUCCUUCAUCUAAUGAAACCACCAUAACCUGUAGGCGUGAAUACAUCUCAAAACAAUCUCACUUCACUUUCAUUAGACCAAUAACAAGCACACAGACAAUGUUUGAAGCCAACGGACACAACUAAAAGUACCAAAUAGGCACAUGUCCAAGUAAAAUACCCAGAAGCUUCGUAAAACAAACUAAUCCAACACUUAUAAGUAGAUGAAUUAACAUGUUUUUGACAUUGAUCUAUGCACUUUACCAGUUACUUUAAUGGUGAUUUCCAACACCUGCGAGCAGAUUGAAAUCCUCACAACUGACGCAUAGACCAUGCCAUGCCAUUUAGUAUGCAGUUUGAUAACAACUUGAUAUCCAACAUAUGUUUCAUCAGAUAAAUGACUAGCACACAAAAAAUGUGACUUAAUGAAUCUAGCUGAAGAUUAAACUGAAUACAUGGAUUCUAUAUAUACCUUAUAGGUCAUCUGCAAAUGUAAGGCAUUACUAACACAAAACUCAACCUCCCACUGAUCUGCAACAUCAUUACUUAAUUUGCUAGUCAAUACUUAAAUCAUAUUUUUGAAAAUAUGCCUUUGGGAAUAGCCUUACUUGGUCAAUGAAUGCAUAUUAACUCAAUGAAAGGUACAACUAAGCAUGGAAGCAUUCACUGCUGUUACACAAAAACAUGCAUCUAACAACCAUCUUAUAUGUAUUAAUAAGUCCACAUUUAUGCUAAGUCCUUGUGAGCCUCAAAACAAAUGAUCAACCAAGAAAUCCAAAUGAUUGCAAGUAAUAGAAAAAUGUACGCAUAUACCAAGUAUCCAUU